rnacentral:rRNA from 1 species
CAGUCGCCGCGGGAAUACGAAGGGUGCAAGCGUUAAUCGGAAUUACUGGGCGUAAAGCGUGCGUAGGCGGUUUGUUAAGUCUGUUGUGAAAUCCCCGGGCUCAACCUGGGAAUGGCAAUGGAUACUGGCAAGCUAGAGUGUGUCAGAGGAUGGUGGAAUUCCCGGUGUAGCGGUGAAAUGCAUAGGGAUCGGGAGGAACAUCAGUGGCGAAGGCGGCCAUCUGGGACAACACUGACGCUGAGGCACGAAAGCGUGGGGAGCAAACAGGAUUAGAUACCCCCGUAGUCCCUGUCUCUUAUAC